rnacentral:rRNA from 1 species
AUGAUUCACUUAGUAUGUGUAUUGAUUUCAAGCAUAUUAAUCGGGCCUGCCCGAAAGAUCAUUUUCCUCUCCCUUGCAUCGAUCAUAUGGUUGACUCGACAACAGGAUGUGAGCAUUUGUCCUUCUUUGAUGCGUAUUUUGGGUACCAUCAGAUCCGUCCAUAUGGGCCUGAUGAAUAAAAACAGCCUUCAUCACCCUAUUCAGGUGUUUUUGCUAUGUUACCAUGCCUUUUGGUCUGAACAAUGUUUGAGCCAUGUUCAUUCACAUGAUACAGAAGUGCCUCCUCACUCAAAUCAGUCAAAACGUGGAAGCAUACAUGGAUGA